CUUCAGAGCUUGCUUCUAUCGAACCGUUUUAGAAACAUCAGUGGCCAACGAUCGUCAGGAUUGUUGAGCUGCAUUGGCGGGAUUUCGCCGUCUUCGUUUCUCUUUCUUCGCGGACGAACACGCGCUGGGGCUGCAAGCUUGCAGAAUCCCUGGUCCUUGACUGGAUAUGCGUUAGGGGCUUGUAGCUCAGUUGGUUAGAGCGCGCGCUUGAUAAGCGUGAGGUCGGAAGUUCAAGUCUUCCCAGGCCCACCACACUCAUCGAGUGAGCAUUCGUCUUCUGGUUACGGGGCCAUAGCUCAGCUGGGAGAGCGCGUGCUUUGCAAGCAUGAGGUCGUCGGUUCGAUCCCGUCUGGCUCCACCAGAUGGUUUGAUCAUCGACUGAUCGUGCACCUAAAUCGUCCGCGAAACAUCACUUCGCACUUACUAGUCCGGAUGGACAGUAAGCUGCGUGAUUUCUGACAUCGUAAAGAGGAGAUCGAUCCGAGUUGGAUCGGGCAACAAGCAAUUGUUGCGCGAUACUUCAUUAUCUCCGGAUCAUUUCGGCGCUCGUGCGCCUUUCAAUGUAGCUCACAAGGCUGCGUCUGAGAGGAAUGCGAGUUGUAAAUGAUCCUUUUAGCGAAGCUUGACCGCCUCGCUAUCGGAACGAUCUUACGAAGCAAGCUGGUCUUUCUAAUCAUUGUCCGGCUGCAGAUAGCGUUCAUCGAGGGCGCGUGCCGCAAGGUAAUUCUGCAGACAACAUUCUGCCGAGUGUGUGGACAUUGAUAAUGAGAGCAAUCAAGUGCCUUAAGGGUGUUCGGUGGAUGCCUUGGCGCUGAGAGGCGAUGAAGGACGUGCUACGCUGCGAUAAGCCGUGGGGAGCUGCGAAGAA
rnacentral:misc_RNA from 1 species